rnacentral:rRNA from 1 species
UCAAGUGAAUAAGUGCAUCAGGCGGAUGCCUUGGCGAUGAUAGGCGACGAAGGACGUGUAAGCCUGCGAAAAGCGCGGGGGAGCUGGCAAUAAAGCUAUGAUUCCGCGAUGUCCGAAUGGGGAAACCCACUGCAUUCUGUGCAGUAUCCUAAGUUGAAUACAUAGGCUUAGAGAAGCGAACCCGGAGAACUGAACCAUCUAAGUACCCGGAGGAAAAGAAAUCAACCGAGAUUCCGCAAGUAGUGGCGAGCGAACGCGGAGGAGCCUGUACGUAAUAACUGUCGAGAUAGAAGAACAAGCUGGGAAGCUUGACCAUAGCGGGUGACAGUCCCGUAUUCGAAAUCUCAACAGCGGUACUAAGCGUACGAAAAGUAGGGCGGGACACGUGAAAUCCUGUCUGAAUAUGGGGGGACCAUCCUCCAAGGCUAAAUACUCAUCAUCGACCGAUAGUGAACCAGUACCGUGAGGGAAAGGCGAAAAGAACCCCGGGAGGGGAGUGAAACAGAACCUGAAACCUGAUGCAUACAAACAGUGGGAGCGCCCUAGUGGUGUGACUGCGUACCUUUUGUAUAAUGGGUCAACGACUUACAUUCAGUAGCGAGCUUAACCGGAUAGGGGAGGCGUAGGGAAACCGAGUCUUAAUAGGGCGAUGAGUUGCUGGGUGUAGACCCGAAACCGAGUGAUCUAUCCAUGGUCAGGUUGAAGGUGCCGUAACCAGGUACUGGAGGACCGAACCCACGCAUGUUGCAAAAUGCGGGGAUGAGCUGUGGGUAGGGGUGAAAGGCUAAACAAACUCGGAGAUAGCUGGUUCUCCCCGAAAACUAUUUAGGUAGUGCCUCGAGCAAGACACUGAUGGGGGUAAAGCACUGUUAUGGCUAGGGGGUUAUUGCAACUUACCAACCCAUGGCAAACUCAGAAUACCAUCAAGUGGUUCCUCGGGAGACAGACAGCGGGUGCUAACGUCCGUUGUCAAGAGGGAAACAACCCAGACCGCCGGCUAAGGUCCCAAAUGAUAGAUUAAGUGGUAAACGAAGUGGGAAGGCACAGACAGCCAGGAUGUUGGCUUAGAAGCAGCCAUCAUUUAAAGAAAGCGUAAUAGCUCACUGGUCGAGUCGUCCUGCGCGGAAGAUGUAACGGGGCUCAAAUCUAUAACCGAAGCUGCGGAUGCCGGUUUACCGGCAUGGUAGGGGAGCGUUCUGUAGGCUGAUGAAGGUGCAUUGUAAAGUGUGCUGGAGGUAUCAGAAGUGCGAAUGUUGACAUGAGUAGCGAUAAAGCGGGUGAAAAGCCCGCUCGCCGAAAGCCCAAGGUUUCCUANCGCAACGUUCAUCGGCGUAGGGUAAGUCGGCCCCUAAGGCGAGGCAGAAAUGCGUAGUCGAUGGGAAACAGGUUAAUAUUCCUGUACUUGAUUCAAAUGCGAUGUGGGGACGGAGAAGGUUAGGUUGGCAAGCUGUUGGAAUAGCUUGUUUAAGCCGGUAGGUGGAAGACUUAGGCAAAUCCGGGUUUUCUUAACACCGAGAAGUGAUGACGAGUGUCUACGGACACGAAGCAACCGAUACCACGCUUCCAGGAAAAGCCACUAAGCUUCAGUUUGAAUCGAACCGUACCGCAAACCGACACAGGUGGGCAGGAUGAGAAUUCUAAGGCGCUUGAGAGAACUCGGGAGAAGGAACUCGGCAAAUUGAUACCGUAACUUCGGGAGAAGGUAUGCCCUCUAAGGUUAAGGACUUGCUCCGUAAGCCCCGGAGGGUCGCAGAGAAUAGGUGGCUGCGACUGUUUAUUAAAAACACAGCACUCUGCCAACACGAAAGUGGACGUAUAGGGUGUGACGCCUGCCCGGUGCCGGAAGGUUAAUUGAAGAUGUGCAAGCAUCGGAUCGAAGCCCCGGUAAACGGCGGCCGUAACUAUAACGGUCCUAAGGUAGCGAAAUUCCUUGUCGGGUAAGUUCCGACCCGCACGAAUGGCGUAACGAUGGCCACACUGUCUCCUCCCGAGACUCAGCGAAGUUGAAGUGGUUGUGAAGAUGCAAUCUACCCGCUGCUAGACGGAAAGACCCCGUGAACCUUUACUGUAGCUUUGCAUUGGACUUUGAAGUCACUUGUGUAGGAUAGGUGGGAGGCUUGGAAGCAGAGACGCCAGUCUCUGUGGAGUUGCCCUGGACAUACCGCCCUGGUGUCUUUGAGGUUCUAACCCAGACCCGUCAUCCGGGUCGGGGACCGUGCAUGGUAGGCAGUUUGACUGGGGCGGUCUCCUCCCAAAGCGUAACGGAGGAGUUCGAAGGUUACCUAGGUCCGGUCGGAAAUCGGACUGAUAGUGCAAUGGCAAAAGGUAGCUUAACUGCGAGACCGACAAGUCGGGCAGGUGCGAAAGCAGGACAUAGUGAUCCGGUGGUUCUGUAUGGAAGGGCCAUCGCUCAACGGAUAAAAGGUACUCCGGGGAUAACAGGCUGAUCCGCCCAAGAGUCAA